rnacentral:lncRNA from 1 species
CAAGAUUGAUUAAGAAACUCCAAGAUUUUUUAAGAUUCAAUCUGUCUUUCAAGAUUUCCUACAUAACAAAUUAAACAUAUUAGGAGUAAAAAGAUCAUUAUUUCACCAAGAACCAAGCAAAAUUUAUUCAUUUAUAUACUAAAAUAAGUCUAAAAACUCUAUUUUAUAGAGUUAUCAAACCUUCAAACUUGAACUUUUGCUUGUUGUCAAGCAAAAUAAAACUAAGCUAGAUUAUAAAUUAACAUGCUAAAUAUCAUAAUGAAUAUUUCCAAUAAUUAGAUUUUCAUAAAUUCCUCAAAAAUUGCAUGAUAAAUAUAAUUUAGAGAAAAUUAUAAGCAUAGAUUAAACACCAAUGCUCAUUCAAGAAUAACUACUUUCUAAUUGCAAAUUUUCCUGUAUGUAUGAAUAAUCUAUCUCAUAUCAAUGCAAAACAUUCAAUUAAAGUUAUGCAAACAUGAAAUCAACACAAAAUCUUAAAGCAUACGCAAGUUUCAUAAGUUUGCUUUUCACAUUUCUCUCCACUAAUGUUAGCUACAUUUAACCAAAGAUCAAUAAGUCUUUAUUAAGCUUGUAAUGUCAGGCUAGUAAGGUAUGGUAGAGGAAAAUUUAGGCUUAUAAACCUUAAAAUGGAUUACUUAAGAUCUUUUAUAUUAAUGAGAGAGUUUUCAAGAAUUUUGACACCCCUAAACUUAAAUCUUAGAUUCUUUUUUUUUUUUCUUUUUAAACAACAACUCCUUAUUGAUUUGCAUGUAUUCUUGUUGUUUUCAUGUUCACUUUUUUUUCUUUUUCUUUUUCUUUUUCAAAUUUCAUUUUUCUUUGUUUAAAAGCUAUUUUCAACUUUUCUUUUCUUUGUUUGAAAUGGAAUUUACACAAACCCUUCCAUCCCAAUGUAACAUAGCUUUCAUAUUUAUCUUUAAUUGAUCCAUAUGCAUCACGAGUGUUAGCCCGGAAAGUAGUUAUCUGGUGAACGAAUCCAGCCGGUUCAGUGGAGCGGUCGGUGAAAGUCAGCAAGCAAAGGAGAAGUUGAAUGAUCAGGCCACGUUGCUUACAAAGAAAUUGACUUUCUCACGAGUUAUGAUCUGGUUGGUACGAUCGCGAUCGAUCUCAUCAAAUGCGUUUUCAGCAAUCAAAAUGCCAAUCUAGCUUGUGUUUACACAUAGGGUAAGGUAUAAAGAUAAAGAUAAUACAUCAAAAGGUGGCUAAUUCAUACAGGUGAAAACAAAGAAAGGAAAUGUUUAUAUUAGGCUCAAAAGGGGUGACUGUGGAUAUAGAUAUAAAGGUUAGCUUCAAAGGCUCAAACGGUCCAAAGAUAGCUUAAAUCAUCUCCUUAAUUAAGUGUAGUCUAUGAUUUUUCCUUAAGAGAUGCUGAAACAAAUUCUAAAAUCAGAACAUAACUUUAAAGAUCAAUGCAAUCCCAUAUCUACAUAAGCCUUAACUAAAUAUGCAUACAUCUUAAUGGUCAAGACUAAAUGUUCAAGAAUGUGGAAAUAUCAUAAUCAAACAUAAACUAAUUUCAGAAAUCAUCUCAUGCUUUCAUUGCAUUCAUUAUUUUCUAAUAAGCUAUAUUCAAAGUUAAUCAAAGUUUCUACUAUUGGAUUAUGAGAAAAUAAUCAAAGGAAGCAAUACUCCAAUUCUACAAAUGACAAUUUAAGCUCAAAAUAGAAAUUUUGAAAAUUUUGCACGAAUUUUCUCUCCCCCAAAACUUGAGUGACACAUUGUCCUCAAUGUGUAAAAAUAGAAUGAUAUAGCAUAAAAGUUAAAGAGAUACUCCCCUAAUUCACCAAGUCCCAAUUUAGAAUUUGAGUAAUUCUUCAUUAUGUCCCUUACCUUACCUAGUUUCUUGUUCCUUAUUCUAAUAAAAACAAAAGCAAACAAGCUAAGCAUUACCUAUUCCUAAUAAAAAACUAAAAUAAUAAAACUAAUCCUAAGUAUUCAAAGCUAAAAAUUAAAAUUCGAGUUACCUCCUAAGUAGCGCUAGUUAUAAUCAAGCUUGACUAAUACCAAAAACUCUUCAACCAUGUAAAUUUACCACACCUUUCUUUGUAAAAGAACCCAUCCACCUAAUCAUCUUCUUUUUCCUUUCAUUCUCCCAAAUAUGGUGCUCCAAAAUAGUUGGUGUGCUUAACUCCACAAACAUGACUUCAUCCUUUUUUUUUGUAACU